GCCGGGCACGGUGGCUUGUGCCUGUAAUCCAAGCGCCGGGGAGGCUGAAACCCCUGUAAUCCAAGCGCCGGGGAGGCUGAGGCUGGCGGACGGCUUGAGCCCGGGGGUUCUGGGCUGCGGCGAGCUGUGCCGAGCGGGCGUCCGCGCUAAGUUCAGCAUCGAUAUGGUGGUCCUGGGGGAGCCGGGGGGCACCAGGUCGCCUAAGGAGGGGUGAACCGGCCCAGGUCGGAGACGGAGCAGGUCAAAGCUCCCGUGCCGCUCGGUAGCGGGAUGGCGCCUGUGAACAGACCCUGCAGCACAGCCCGGGCGAGAGAGCGGGACCCAGCCUCUU
rnacentral:SRP_RNA from 1 species